rnacentral:ribozyme from 1 species
GGGGCGGUGCAGGAGCUGGCGUGGGCGGAGGGGGCGGACAUCCUCGAGGGCAUCAACGUGCGGCUCGGGCCGGAGGGCGUCGGUCGGCCCGACUCUGCACACAAGUCGCUCACGCUGAG